GUGAAUCAUCAAAUUUUUGAACGCAAAUUGCACUCUCUUCGGAGAGUAUGCCUGUUUGGGGGUCAGCCUAAAAAAACUGUCCAUCGUUGCUGUUACGCGGUAACGUUCGUCGGAAAUGGGGUCAUCUUAAACCUUUGGGUUGAAGCGGCUUAAAGUUUUCUUUACGUUUCAAAGAAGGUUUAUAAGAUUUUAUUUUCUUAUACGUUGAAGGUAUCGGUCUUUAUUAGACGUGGCAGUUGCAUCGGGUCUCGU
rnacentral:misc_RNA from 1 species